rnacentral:SRP_RNA from 1 species
GCCGGGCGCGGUGGCGCGCGCCUGUAAUCCCAGCUCCCCGGGAGGCUGAGGUCGGCGGAUCGUGGGUGCUCGGGAGUUCGGGGCGGCGGCGAUGUGUGGAGCGGGCGUCCGCACCGGGCCUGGCACCAACAUGGGGCUCCCGGGGGAGCCUGGGGGUGCCAGGUUGUCUAAGGAGCGGGGGACCAGGCCCAGGCCGGACACGGAGCAGGUCAAACUCCCCGUGCUGGGCGGCGGUGGGACCGCGCCCGCGAGCAACGCCUGCAGUUCUGCCUGGGACAUCUGACGAGACCCGGUCUCUU